rnacentral:rRNA from 1 species
UGAGGAAUAUUGGGCAAUGGACGCAAGUCUGACCCAGCCAUGCCGCGUGAAGGAUGAAGGCGUUCUGCGUUGUAAACUUCUUUUACCAGGGAAGAAACCUAUUUUUUCUAAGAUAGUUGACGGUACCUGAGGAAUAAGCACCGGCUAACUCCGUGCCAGCAGCCGCGGUAAUACGGAGGGUGCAAGCGUUAUCCGGAUUUACUGGGUUUAAAGGGUGUGUAGGCGGGCUAUUAAGUCUGGGGUGAAAUCUCCGAGCUCAACUCGGAAACUGCCUUGGAUACUAUUAGUCUUGAAUUAUGUUGAGGUUGGCGGAAUAUAACAUGUAGCGGUGAAAUGCAUAGAUAUGUUAUAGAACACCGAUUGCGAAGGCAGCUGGCUAAACAUAUAUUGACGCUGAGGCACGAAAGCGUGGGGAUCAAACAGG